rnacentral:rRNA from 1 species
CAUGCAGUCGCACGGAUGGGGGCAACUCCAUCAGUGGCGGACGGGUGAGUAACGCGAAGGUAUCUAUCCUUGGGUGGGGGAUAACCGUGGGAAACUACGGCUAAUACCGCAUGAUCCCUGAGGGGCAAAGGCGCAAGUCGCCUGAGGAGGAGCCUGCGUCCGAUUAGCUAGUUGGUGGGGUAAAGGCCUACCAAGGCGACGAUCGGUAUCUGGUCUGAGAGGAUGAUCAGCCACACUGGGACUGAGACACGGCCCAGACUCCUACGGGAGGCAGCAGUGGGGAAUAUUGGACAAUGGGCGAAAGCCUGAUCCAGCAAUGCCGCGUGGGUGAAGAAGGUCUUCGGAUUGUAAAGCCCUUUCGGCGGGGACGAUGAUGACGGUACCCGCAGAAGAAGCCCCGGCUAACUUCGUGCCAGCAGCCGCGGUAAUACGAAGGGGGCUAGCGUUGCUCGGAAUGACUGGGCGUAAAGGGCGCGUAGGCGGUUUACAUAGUCAGGCGUGAAAUUCCCGGGCUCAACCUGGGGACUGCGCUUGAUACGUGUAGACUUGAGUGAGGAAGAGGGUCGUGGAAUUCCCAGUGUAGAGGUGAAAUUCGUAUAUAUUGGGAAGAACACCGGUGGCGAAAGCGGCGACCUG